UACGUAGGUGGCAAGCGUUGUCCGGAAUUACUGGGUGUAAAGGGCGUGUAGGCGGGAAGAUAAGUCAGAUGUGAAAUCCCAGGGCUUAACUCUGGAGCUGCAUCUGAAACUGUUUUUCUUGAGUACUGGAGAGGAAAGUUGAAUUCCUAGUGUAGCGGUGAAAUGCGUAGAGAUUAGGAGGAACACCAGUGGCGAAGGCGGCUUUCUGGACAGUAACUGACGCUGAGGCGCGAAAGCGUGGGUAGCAAACAGGAUUAGAUACCCGUGUA
rnacentral:rRNA from 1 species